rnacentral:rRNA from 1 species
UACGUAGGGUGCAAGCGUUGUCCGGAAUUAUUGGGCGUAAAGAGCUCGUAGGCGGUUGUUGCGUCGGCUGUGAAAUCCCGAGGCUCAACCUCGGGUCUGCAGUCGAUACGAGCAAACUAGAGUGUUGCAGGGGAGACUGGAAUUCCUGGUGUAGCGGUGAAAUGCGCAGAUAUCAGGAGGAACACCGGUGGCGAAGGCGGGUCUCUGGGCAACAACUGACGCUGAGGAGCGAAAGCGUGGGGAGCGAACAGG